CACGUGGACAAUCUAACCUAAGGUGGGGGAUAACCCCGGGAAACUGGGGAUAAUACCCCAUAGACUAUGGGUGCUGGAAUGCUCUGUAGUUGAAAGGUCCGCCGCCAUAGGAUGAGUCUGCGGCCGAUUAGGUUGUUGUUGGGGUAACGGCCCAACAAGCCUGUAAUCGGUACGGGUUGUGGGAGCAAGAGCCCGGAGAUGGAUUCUGAGACACGAAUCCAGGCCCUACGGGGCGCAGCAGGCGCGAAAACUUUACAAUGCGGGAAACCGUGAUAAGGGAACUCCGAGUGCCCGUAAAAUCGGGCUGUCCACCAGUGCAAAUAACUGGUGAAGAAAGGGCCGGGCAAGACCGGUGCCAGCCGCCGCGGUAAUACCGGCGGCUCGAGUGGUGGCCACUAUUACUGGGCUUAAAGCGUUCGUAGCUGGUCUGUUAAGUCUCUGGGGAAAUCUACUGGCUUAACCAAUAGGCAUCUCAGGGAUACUGGCAGACUAGGGACCGGGAGAGGUGAGGGGUACUCCA
rnacentral:rRNA from 1 species